UUUUUAUCCAUCCGAUUAAUUGGACGGAUAAAAAUAGACGGAUUAUCCAUCUAAAAUGAACACUGUUCUGUUUUCACACUAAGACGGACUAUCCGUGCUGGACAGAUAACCCGUCUUAGAAGGAUUGUCCGUCUCUAGUGUGAAAACAGCCAAUUGUUGAUUUAAACUUAUCCUUCUAAUCAAAUCAUAACAAAUCCCAGAAUGCAGGUCCAGUUUUAGCUCUACAAUAUUAAUAUUAUUAUAUGGCUUGCUCCCUGAGCAGGCAAGAUGGUGUUAUGCUGCUACUCAGGGUUACCAGGGCUGUCAUUGAGGGCCGUAAACCAUAACACCUGCUACAGCUGAGUAUGCUUGAUUUUUCCGUUAUGCUACUUGUGAAAUUGUCUGUUGUUGAUAGAAUUCACCCACAAAGUAAUGAGUUUGCUACGGGUGUGGAGAACAAGGCUGCAGAUGACUUGAAACUUAAUGAUAGCCCUGGUUACAUGCUAUGACCCACAAGAAAAAAUUGUUCUUUAUCCCAUAUGAUAAUAAUUUCCUAUUUUGCCUAAGCGUGUUUGCUCAUUCAAAAUUUCUGAAUAUUGGCCUGGUUUUUUUUCUUUUUUUUUUUUUUUUUCGUGUUUAUGGACCUUGACUCUGUUUUGGUCUAAAAACAUGCAAAAGAAACUUGGCCAAUAUCCAGCCAUCUUUACAUCAUGUCUGGUCAAUAAUCCACGUGCAAUAAUGUGGACUAAGUGGAGCACAAUUCAUGGCGUAAAUACGUGAGUAAUUUCAAAUUUCAAGAUGAAAAAAGUCUGUUAAGAACUUCCUUUGAGAAAAACUCAGUGGUGUUUUUUCCAUAAGCUUUUAACACUAAGAAACAUUACGAAGAAAGUGAAUGGCAUGGCAUUACGGAAUUGCGCCCAUUGAAACACGUUGACUGAACAUUCAAAUUAGCUUCCAAAAACAUUAACAGGGCAUGCGUAACUAGAUGCAGAGAUGGUGAGAGAUGUCAAUCGUUAAAAUCCCAAGUGUAUAUCAGUGUCAAAACCAUUGUUCCUGAAAUUUGCUUGUGAAACCUUGAUCUAUUCAUUGUGUAACAAUAGACGUAAUUUAGUAGGAAGACCAUCUUGAUUUAACCACCAUUGUUAAGAAAUACAUCGCUUAAAUUUAAUAAAUGCAAGAGCUUUGCGAAAACAAGUCCAUAAUAUUAUCAAUUGGACCGAACGAACAAACUUUUCAACUAGUCUAGAGAUAUUGACAAAUGUGCUGAUCAGUUCAAACCCACUGAUCGCCAAAUUAACAAACAACAGAAAGUGAAAACAAAUGCAGACUUAAUAUCCUUUCUUCAAAAGCAUUCAAUACAAAAUACCAGAAAAAAAAACUUACAAUUUGCUUCUUCUUUACGCAUUACUCCUUCUGUGAGAUCCAGUUAUUUACCAGACAGCGUGAUAAAGACACACAGCUCUUGAAGCUACUUGGCAAACAUGACGCCUUUUGGAAACUGUGGGGUUUAUCGCAGAUCUGACACAAACUCGCAGAGCCUCAGUUAUUAAAAUGCUUUAUUCUCUGUUGUUUCUGUUAAUUCUUAAAAGCAAAACGUUUUAUUGUUUGUUUGGAGAAUGCAGACUAGUUGUGUCGAUCAACUGUGAUGCCAUAUGCUUUCAGGGUUUGGAUAGACUGGCCCAGAUGGCCUCGAUGUGAUAAUUGUUCUCAGCCGAGGACUGGUAUUUACACGUUUAGUGAAAUUACAUGAGAGAAUGAAACCCACCAAUUUGAAAGGAACCCAGGUUUUCAAGACAGGACAUGAUGAUGUCAACAUUGAAACUCUGAUUG
rnacentral:lncRNA from 1 species